ACUUGGCAUAAGUUGUCAUUUUUCAGCCGCAGCAAGUUCUUGCGAAAAAGGAUCAUCGGCUUCCCAUUUUGACGGGAUAGAGGCAUAUUUUGUUGAACCACACAAACGGUGAGAAGAGGUAGAAAUAAAGAGGGGGAUUGCAACUGGAAGGAGAUGGAAGUCCAGACACUCUGCCACUGUGUGCCAUUGAACAAGAAAUCUCUUUUAGUAUGAAGAUUAUUCAAGAGUCAAGACUGUUGAAGACGUGACGACAUGGACCUGGUUGCACAUGGCAAGGGAACUAUCUGGUUGUA